rnacentral:rRNA from 1 species
AGUAAUGCGUGACCAACCUGCCCCAUGCUCCAGAAUAGCUCUUGGAAACGGGUGGUAAUGCUGGAUGCUCCAACUUGACGCAUGUCUUGUUGGGAAAGUGUUUAGUGGCAUGGGAUGGGGUCGCGUCCUAUCAGCUUGUAGGCGGGGUAAUGGCCCACCUAGGCGACGAUGGGUAGCCGGCCUGAGAGGGCGGACGGCCACAUUGGGACUGAGAUACGGCCCAGACUCCUACGGGAGGCAGCAGAU